rnacentral:rRNA from 1 species
UACGUAGGGGGCAAGCGUUGUCCGGAUUUAUUGGGCGUAAAGAGCGUGUAGGCGGCCUGACAAGUCUGCUGUGAAAACUCGAGGCUCAACCUCGAGAUGUCGGCGGAAACUGUCUGGCUAGAGUCCGGAAGAGGAGAGUGGAAUUCCUGGUGUAGCGGUGAAAUGCGCAGAUAUCAGGAGGAACACCGGUGGCGAAGGCGGGUCUCUGGGCCGAUACUGACGCUGAGGAGCGAAAGCGUGGGGAGCGAACAGG